rnacentral:lncRNA from 1 species
AUAUGUGAUAUAUAUGAAUGUAUAUAUGAUAUAUUAAUUUUGGAAUUGAAAAGAAUAUUUCUUCGUUAAAGUUAUGACUUUAAGCAUUCUAUAACGAUAGAAUGUAUAUGGGAGACAUGGUCUAUAUACAUGGGAUGGAAAUCUAUAUUGAUAGAUUUCAAGAUAUAAUUUGAUUAUAUCAAUCCCUAAUAAUAGACAAAAGAUGAUAGGAAGUUUCUCAUAUGAUGAUGAACUUCAAUCAAAUGGACAACUCUAGUAAGACUAAGGAGUUGCUCUUCUCAAAGAGAACAUACUCUUUGACUCCCAAAUAAAUAAUGCGUAAAUAGAAUCCUUUAUGCAUACGUACAAAGGUGAUUUAUGUAUUUCAUAUUGUAUGAAAAAUAUUGAUAUGAGUUGUACCUAGAACGGUACAAGACGAUAUCAGUGCAAGCCCAGGAUCAAAACCAUGGCAACUGUCAAGUGAAUCCUUAAGUAUUUGAGAAAUACUAAAGGAUAGAUUCCUCAAAGAACGAGGAAGAAUUAGAGUAACGUAAAGGAAGCGUAAAUGUAUUAGAUUAUGAAUCUAAUCCAUCAUUGGAUGUUUCUUCAUUAUGAAUGAAGAGAUAAACGGAUAUCUCUUUAUUAUGACUAAAGAGAUAUUUGGAUGGAAACAUUAAAGUAAUGACUUUAGUGUGUUCCAUUAUGAAUGCAAAAUAUAUUGCUAUAAAGAAGCUUACAACAAUGUUGUUUGGAUGGGAAAGUUCAUUUAUGAACUCUCUAUUCGGUUCCAACCAGAAAGUGUAUGACACUAAUGGGGCGAUAGCUCAAGCCAGGGAAUCAAGGUCUCAUCAAGGUCCGAACUCAUAUGAGAGACUGAACCACAUGAUUGAGAAUCAUGUAUAAUGGUGACGUCGUUAUUCUCAAGGUUGCUUCUAUGGAUAACAUAUAGAUAUCCAUUGUCUAGGCCUACUACUCAGCCAUUUAUGAAAUGACUACAGAAGAGGUAUAAUCACUGAUGAACAAGCUGAUUGGCUCUAGUGCAAGUGGGAGAUUGUUGGAAAUGUGCUCUAAAGCCAAUCAUAUGAUGAUACUUUACGAACAUUUCACAUGUUAAACUAAUCUAGUUUAAUAUAAAGGGCAAAGAUUAUUGUUUGAGCCGUCUCAUAUAAAUGUUAUAUGCUUAAACGAUAAAGUCCAAGGAAUAUGUGAUUGGGAGAAUGCAAUCUAAUGAAGUUAGAUUCAUGAGACCAUUCUUUCGUAGACACAUCCUAAAUGUUCCUGAUCAUAGGAUUGUCAAUUGGGCAUUGACAGUCCGUCAAGAUCGGUACGUGCUAUGUCUUCUCUCAAGGAGAGUGACUAGUCUCGAGUCAUUGGUGUGUGUGACAUCAAGACAAGUACGUAGGUGCUCAGUAGAGAAUGAGUUCACUGAACGCGAUCAACGAAGAGUUCUCAUAUUCAUGUCUCUAUAGUAGUCUAAUUGAUCAAUGAUUGGAUUAUAGUAAUCUAAUUGAUUGUCUCUAUAGUAGAGAUAAUAUGGUGGUAUUAACUGUUUAGAAUAAAAUGAUGCUUAAAACCCAAAAAGGUUGCAAGGUAGUGACUAAUCCCAACUAAAGUUGUGAUACCUCUAAAACAUAAAUUACGAGUUGGUCAAAGAUGGAUGCAUUGGAUCGUUAGAUCCGGAUCCAAUACCUUCUUAUUAAAAUUGUAUGGAGGCGAAAUGUUCGAAUCUUUAUUCUUUUGGAAAGAAGAAAGAAUCACAAAGUUGUUGACGUUAAUUCACUUAGAUGUUAGUGGCACUUGUUCACAACAUAAUACUGCUCAUGUUGGAUGACAUUCACCGAAGAUCACUCUUGGUUGGACUAUAGUUUAUUUUGAAUAAACACAAGUCCGAAUACUUUGCAAAAUGUUUCAAAGAAUUCAAGUAAUGUAAGUUGAUGAGUAAGACGUCUAAAGUAAUUACCUCCUUAGAUUUGAUCCAAGAUAAGGUAACACUUUAGAACAGUUUCCUUGAAAGAUAUCAAGGAAAUAAGCAUCAUAAGAUAAUAGAUUUCUCCAUAAGGAGAAGAACGAACUUAAAUAAGAUUCAGUUCGUUGGAUAUUAUCAAUUACCCAUAUAUAGGAUAUAUACUUCUAAGACAAUAUGAUUGUCAAUUAGAAGAUCUUCCAAAAUUUUCAUGACUCCAUAAGAUGUAGUUGGAAAAAAGACAAAUCUUAAAACAUGUUAAGAUUUGGGGUUGUAUGCUAAUAAGCAAUAUUUGUUUGAUAACAAUCUUGUGGGAUAUCCUUAAAUUAACUUUUGGAUAUCACUUCUAUAAACCAACUAACAAAUGUUGUUUUGUUGGGUAGUUCAUUGUAAUCCUACAAUGUGAUUUGCCUAAAAGCGAAUAAACGAGAGAUAGAACUCAAAGAAUGGGUUCUUUGAGAGACAAGAAAGUAAUUAACAAAUAUAAACAACCUAGUUCCUAUAUCAAAAGCUCCAAGGUAGUCGAUAAGGAUUUAUAAACCGUCUCAGUUGAAUGGUUUGAACUUUAUGACUAUGUCAUAGAGUUGCAUCUCUUAAUUCGAAAGAAAUAAGAAUGAAAAUCCUUAUGACUACAUUGAGUGUAUAUAUGAUAUAUACUCAAGGAAAUGGUAAAAUACCAUUUAACCCGAAAUAAUGAAACCUUCAUAAGCUAAUUGGUAGCUUAAGGUGACUACAAUAAAAGAGAAUGGUUGACUUUGAAGGAACCAUUUUUGACGUAGUCUUAGUUUCAAUUAAUUCGAAGAUUGCUAGCUACAACUAAAUGGUGAUUCAAUGUUUGGACAUAAUAUAGGUUUCCGAAACCAUUAUUAAGAUAGUCUUGAUAAUAUAUGUCUAAAACUAUGAAUCACAAGACAUGUAAGUUGUAGAGAUCCAUCCAUCAUGGAUCUUAGCAAGCUAGUGGGAGCUAUAAGCGUCUUAUGAGAAAAAAGGUCAAAUCGUUUGCUUUCUCAUAAAGAUGUAAAUGAAUCUUUUGUUUACUAGGUUUACAAAAGAUUAGUGGGAGUUAAUCAUAUUCCUAAAUUUGUAUAUAUAUAUAUAUAUAUAUAUAUAUAUUAUAUAUAUAUAUAUAUAAAUAUAUAUAUGUGAUAUAUAUGAAUGUAUAUAUGAUAUAUUAAUUUUGGAAUUGAAAAGAAUAUUUCUUCGUUAAAGUUAUGACUUUAAGCAUUCUAUAACGAUAGAAUGUAUAUGGGAGACAUGGUCUAUAUACAUGGGAUGGAAAUCUAUAUUGAUAGAUUUCAAGAUAUAAUUUGAUUAUAUCAAUCCCUAAUAAUAGACAAAAGAUGAUAGGAAGUUUCUCAUAUGAUGAUGAACUUCAAUCAAAUGGACAACUCUAGUAAGACUAAGGAGUUGCUCUUCUCAAAGAGAACAUACUCUUUGACUCCCAAAUAAAUAAUGCGUAAAUAGAAUCCUUUAUGCAUACGUACAAAGGUGAUUUAUGUAUUUCAUAUUGUAUGAAAAACAUUGAUAUGAGUUGUACCUAGAACGGUACAAGACAAUAUCAGUGCAAGCCCAGGAU